rnacentral:lncRNA from 9 species
AAUUAUUAUUAGCACAGUAUACUUUUCUCAUUCUUUUAUUUUCUUCCUUUCUGUAUAUUUUUGUUUUCUAUAUAUUUCUUACAAGGAGUUUAUAGAUGGAUUAGAUAGUAGUAACUAUUUUUAUCUAUUCAUAUAAAACUUUAAUCCAUUAAUAUUUAUAAUAUACACUUAAAAUUACUGAUAUGUCAUAGUUUUAAAACAUAUUUCAUGUUUUUAUCUUUGGCAGUGUUCCUCAAUAGCCAUUCUCCCUUUCUUCUGGAUAAACGGACCCCUUAGCUGAGCACAUGGAUGACUGCAGUAAAAAUUUCAUGUCCCAGCUGCCCUGGAGUUGAGCGUGAGCAUGUCAUUACAUUUUGGCCAAUGGGAUAUAAAGACGACUAGCCUUCCCAAGACUUUAUUACGAGACUACAGAGGAUGCUCUUGCUUUCUUCUUCUUCUUCUUCUUCUUCUUUUUUAAAUCUUUCCCAACAUUAUCAUGUCUGAAAAAUGGAUGCUUCUUUAGACCAUGGGGACCAGGACCAUACCCCAGCAAUGGCAGAAUGAUCAACAUGGAGUGACUGUUGCAGCAUCUCCAGCUCCACUUGUUUCUGGGGUGUGUGGGAUAAGUAGAGAAAAUAACUGCUGCUUGAGAGGAAGUCUGGGAACAGCAUAAAGAAACCAUACAGCUGUGCAGCAUGGGAAAAGAAUAAACCUCAAUCUUUGUUCUCUCACACUUUUUCUUUCUUGGUAUAGUCCAAAGGUAGCUGAAGUUCUAAAGGGCUGGAUUCACCACUGAUCCAUUAGAAACAUGUCUGACAAACAUUGGAUCCUUUUAAUCAUUCAUUCAAAAGGUCUGUGCCAGCUACCAGGUGAUACUCUGAGCCAUGACAGGUAGCAAAAUCAGUGUGAUCUCAUGGAACUAAUAGUCAAACGAAAGGAAAGACAACCAACCACUACAAAAAAAGAAACAAAAUAAAUGCAAAUUGUGAUAUGUUAAAGAUAUAGAGAAAGGCAUAAAACUUUCUGUCAGUAAUCAAUAUUUUAAUGCUUUUCCUUGGACUUUAUAUUUCAUACAUUUCAUGAGUAUAUUAUGUGUGUUUCAUUUCAGAGGUAAAAGACAUCUCUUAAAGUUCUUAAUGGUAUUCAAUGCAUCAGACCAUUAGAGAGAGAUUCUAGAACAGCAUCCUAUCUUAGUGAAUGUCUAACAAAAUGGUCUGGAAAAGAAAUAUAAUUAAUGUUGAAGUCAUAUUUAUUAUUGUAUUGCAAGAUCUGUGUUGUCACCAAUUGCUAGCUUUAUCUAAUUUAUGUGGAUGGAUUAGUUAACUCCAGAGGUAUUACCUACUGUCACAUUAUUUUUUGCUUAAGUGACAUAAGAAUGUACAUAGAUUUUCAAAUUCAUGUAUAAUAUAUAUAAAGUAAUUGAAACAUUGAGAAAUAAAACUAUAUAAGUUAACAUUACUCUUGGGGUGGAAUCCACUGACACUAAGUUGUAGCUUGAUUAUGGC